rnacentral:rRNA from 1 species
GACGAACGCUGGCGGCGUGCUUAACACAUGCAAGUCGAACGAUGAAGCCGGAGCUUGCUCUGGUGAAUUAGUGGCGAACGGGUGAGUAACACGUGAGUAACCUGCCCUUGACUCUGGGAUAACUGCGGGUAACUGUAGCUAAUACCGGAUACGACCCUCGGAGGCAUCUCCUGGGGGUGGAAAGAAUUUCGGUCAAGGAUGGACUCGCGGCCUAUCAGCUAGUUGGUGAGGUACAGGCUCACCAAGGCGACGACGGGUAGCCGGCCUGAGAGGGUGACCGGCCACACUGGGACUGAGACACGGCCCAGACUCCUACGGGAGGCAGCAGUGGGGAAUAUUGCACAAUGGGCGCAAGCCUGAUGCAGCAACGCCGCGUGAGGGAUGACGGCCUUCGGGUUGUAAACCUCUUUUAGCAGGGAAGAAGCGAGAGUGACGGUACCUGCAGAAAAAGCACCGGCUAACUACGUGCCAGCAGCCGCCGUAA